UACUAAUUAAUGUAUUAUUUUUAAAAUUUUUUAUAAUGUAUAUAAAAAUAUUCUGAAUACCAACAUAAUUUGUCACUCCCGAGUCCCAGCAGAAACCUAUCAGGCACGUGCACAAACCCGCCGUAUGCACAAGGCACCUCCGGUGCAUACAAGAUCUACCAGAAAAACAAGCUAUAAAAAGAGUAGAAAAAAUAAUCCUAACAUCUAUAUAUCUAUAUAUCCUCUAUUAAUCCUCGUAUUAGUCAUCCACGUGUCAUGUUUAUCUUAAUUCAAAUUACUUUAAUCCCACACUACCUCAAAUUCCAUGUGUUGCUUCGCCAUGCCGCUUAGACCCCUCCCCCGCCUCUUCGAUCCCUUCCCCAACUCUUUAAUCUCCUCCUAAUAACCCUACUAACCAGAGAGAGAGAGGGCGCGCGUGCGACACCGCCACUUCGAUCCUUCCCUUUCCUCUUCGAUUCUUUCCCCGCCUCUUCGAUUUCCUCCUAAUAACCCUAAUAACCCGAGAGAGAGAGCGCGCGCAAGCACACGUGACACCGCCUCUUCGAUCUCCUUCUAAUAACCCUAAUAAUCUGAGAGAGUGGAGCGCGUGCGCGAUACCUCUUUCCUUUCCCCUAUCUUCGCCUUUCGCCGGACAACUUUGUCGCCACCAUGAUAUCCGCCGACAAAAACCCCAGCGGCUCUAAUGGACUGAAGCAGGCCCCCCUAGAACCAGUCCCCGCUCAAGGAUCAGGAGCAGCCCCCGUUCAACGAGCAGAAGAAGAAGAAGGAUUAGAAGAGGAUGAGGAUCUGGGCGCUAACAAAUGGGGACUUCGAGAUGGCUCUGGCGAGCGGAUUCACAAGCGCUGCCGUGCGAAAGUCACUUCACUAUAUUGUUUUUAAGAGAAAUUUGAUUUAGAUCAGGGUUUACCUUGCUAAUAAGAGAAGCUUUAGUAGAAGACGAAGAGGCUUCGCUAUACAUCAUAAGUCAGCUGAUGGGGAUGUAUUGGUUUUUCAAUUGAUCAAAUCUACAAAGUUAAGUACAUUAAGCUGAAGAGACGUGGACAUAGCCGAGUAUAUUUCACAAUAAAACAAAGCCGGUCUAAGGAUUCGGAUAAGGAGUCGAGAUAAAGAGAUUAUCUGUGGGUUGCACUUUAUUGGGAAAGUGUAGAGUUGUUUAACUAAUUAAUUUUACUUUAUCGUUUUUAUUAGAACCGUCACUUAUAAAGUAAGAUUUUGGCCUUUUCUCCAAAAGUACUUUCCACAUAAUAUUUUAGUAUAUGUUGUUGGUACUUUGAGUAUUAGUAACUUCAAGAAAAAUGAGUAUUGGAGUAAAAACUUCUGAUCAUACAGAUUGCGUCAAAGAAAUUCAAAAUUGUGUCCUCAAAUUCUCAUUUUCUAU